CCCGGUUUAAGCGUGUAGGGGGUGUGACCUGGUAAAUCCGGUUGCAUAUCAACCCUGAGGCGUGAUGACGAUGCACUACGGUGCAGAAGUAGUUGAUGCCCUGCUUCCAGGAAAAGCCUCUAAGCUCUAGGUAACAUUAAAUCGUACCCCAAACCGACACAGGUGGUCAGGUAGAGAAUACCAAGGCGCUUGAGAGAACUCGGGUGAAGGAACUAGGCAAAAUGGUGCCGUAACUUCGGGAGAAGGCACGCUGGCAUGUAGGUGAA
rnacentral:rRNA from 1 species